ACCAACUGCCCAAACCCCUUUUGCUACCAAUAAAUUGCUGAUUUAGGGUUUCACAUUUUAUGUAGUUUACAUUUCAAAUUCUGCAUCACUUCAUCACCUUCGACAUUUAACUUCAACAACACACAGAAAGGGGAAAAAUGUAUGCACCUCCACAGUACCAAGAAACAAGUUAUGUGGAACACGUUCGCAGACGCCACCAAGAAAAGGGAUGCCUUUACGCUUGUUUGUUCGCCUUCUGCUGCUGCUUCUGCUGCUAUGAGACCUGUGAGUGCUGUUUGGAUGUGUUAUGUUGCUGCUGCCCCUAGAUAAGAGUGACCAUAUACUCCCUUCUCUCUGUAUCUAUCUAUCUAAAAGUAAUAAUUACAGAAGAACAUGAGACUUUCUGAUAUGAGUGUGUUACUUUUGACUUAUGGUUGUGAUAAGUUUUUUUUUUGCAAAAUUACUUUAUGAUCAAGGAGGCAUAGACCUAACAAGUACCAUUUUUUGUGUUCUUUCCAUGUUGAAUAUUUUAAUUUAGCGCAAGUUACUCCAGUGAUAAUGUGUAAUGGUUAUAAAUGAAGAAUAAAGUAUGAAUAUUUUGGGACC